rnacentral:sRNA from 1 species
AAGGACAAAUGGAUCUUUAUAUUUUUCACCCCUUUCAAUUCUUUGUAUCUUAAAACAUGACAUGAAUGUAAUUGAACAAGGUAAUUUUCUAAUUCUUUCCAUCUGGCCUUUCAGAGUGGAGUGGGGACAAAGUGGAUGAGGUGCCUCACUCCUGAUGCGGAAGCUCGUCCAGAUAUUGUAGAAGUCAGUUCGAUGAUAUCAGAUGUCAUGAUGAAAUAUUUAGACAACUUAUCUAAAUCCCAGUUGUCCUUGGAGAAGAAGCUAGAACGGGAACGAAGACGCACACAAAGGUAUUUUAUGGAAGCCAACCGGAACACCAUCACAUGUCACCAUGAGCUGACUCUUCUAUCUCAUGAGACCUUUGAGAAGGCAAGUUUGAGUAGCAGCAGCAGUGGAGCAGCCAGCCUGAAAAGUGAACUUUCAGAAAGCGCAGACCUGCCCCCUGAAGGCUUCCAGGCCUCCUAUGGUAAAGACGAAGACAGGGCCUGUGACGAAAUCCUGUCAGAUGAUAACUUCAACCUGGAAAAUACUGAGAAAGAUACAUAUUCAGAGGUAGAUGAUGAAUUGGACAUUUCGGAUAACUCCAGCAGCUCCAGUUCAAGCCCUCUGAAAGAAUCUACAUUCAACAUUUUAAAGAGAAGUUUUAGUGCUUCAGGAGGAGAAAGACAAUCCCAAACAAGGGACUUCACUGGAGGAACAGGAUCAAGACCAAGACCAGCAUCGGCAGGAAUUGCUGUGUCCCAGAGGAAAGUGCGUCAGAUCAGCGAUCCUAUUCAGCAGAUAUUAAUUCAGCUGCACAAAAUAAUCUAUAUCACACAGCUUCCUCCAGCUUUGCACCAUAAUUUGAAAAGAAGGGUU